rnacentral:rRNA from 1 species
AACGAACGCUGGCGGCAUGCCUAACACAUGCAAGUCGAACGAGACCUUCGGGUCUAGUGGCGCACGCGUGCGUCACGCGUGGGAAUCUGCCCUUGGGCUCGGGAUUCCAGUUGUACACGACUGCUAAUGCCGGAUGAUGUCGUAAGUCCAAAGAUUGAUCGCGCAAGGAUGAGCACGCGUAGGAUUAGCUAGUUGGUGAGGUAAAGGCCGACCAAGGCUAGGCUCCUUAGCUGGUCUGAGAGGAUGAUCCGCGACACUGGGUCUGUGAAGCGGCCCAGACUCCUACGGGAGGCAGGAGUGGGGAAUAUUGGAAUACCGGCGAAAGGCUGAACCAGUAAUGCCGGGUGAGUGAUGAAGGCGUGAGGGUUGUAAAGCUCGUUUACCCGGGAUGAUAAUGACAGUACCGGGAGAAUAAGCACCGGCUAACUUCGUG